rnacentral:rRNA from 1 species
GACGGACGCUGGCGGCGUGCUUAACACAUGCAAGUCGAACGAAGAGCGAUGGAAGCUUGCUUCUAUCAAUUUUCGUGGCGCACGGGUGAGUCACGCGUAAUCAACCUGCCCUUCAGUGGGGGACAACAGUUGGAAACGACUGCUAAUACCGCAUACGAUCUAAUCUCGGCAUCGAGGAUAGAUGAACGGUGGUCUCUACAUGUAUGCUAUCACUGAAGGAGGGGAUUGCGUCUGAUUAGCUAGUUGGAGGGGUAACGGCCCACCAAGGCGAUGAUCAGUAGCCGGUCUGAGAGGAUGAACGGCCACAUUGGGACUGAGACACGGCCCAGACUCCUACGGGAGGCAGCAGUGGGGAAUCUUCCGCAAUGGACGAAAGUCUGACGGAGCAACGCCGCGUGGGUGAUGACGGCCUUCGGGUUGUAAAGCUCUGUUAAUCGGGACGAAAGGCCUUCUUGCGAAUAGUGAGAAGGAUUGACGGUACCGGAAUGGAAAGCCACGGCUAACUACGUG